UAUUGCACAAUGGGCGCAAGCCUGAUGCAGCCAUGCCGCGUGUAUGAAGAAGGCCUUCGGGUUGUAAAGUACUUUCAGUUGUGAGGAAGGGUGUGUAGUUAAUAGCUGCACAUCUUGACGUUAGCAACAGAAGAAGCACCGGCUAACUCCGUGCCAGCAGCCGCGGUAAUACGGAGGGUGCGAGCGUUAAUCGGAAUUACUGGGCGUAAAGCGCAUGCAGGUGGUUCAUUAAGUCAGAUGUGAAAGCCCGGGGCUCAACCUCGGAACUGCAUUUGAAACUGGUGAACUAGAGUACUGUAGAGGGGGGUAGAAUUUCAGGUGUAGCGGUGAAAUGCGUAGAGAUCUGAAGGAAUACCAGUGGCGAAGGCGGCCCCCUGGACAGAUACUGACACUCAGAUGCGAAA
rnacentral:rRNA from 1 species